AUACGGAGGGAGCGAGCGUUAAUCGGAAUUACUGGGCGUAAAGCGCGCGUAGGCGGCUUUGUAAGUCGGAUGUGAAAGCCCUUGGCCCAACCCAGGAAUUGCAUUCGAUACUGCAGAGCUAGAGUAUGGUAGAGGGAAGUGGAAUUUCCGGUGUAGCGGUGAAAUGCGUAGAUAUCGGAAGGAACACCAGUGGCGAAGGCGACUUCCUGGGCCAAUACUGACGCUGAGGUGCGAAAGCGUGGGGAGCAAACAGGAUUAGAUACCCCGGUAGUCC
rnacentral:rRNA from 1 species